ensembl:snoRNA
GUGCAGGCCGUUGUCAGCGAGCCUUGGCCUGUAUUGGCUUUUUCCUUUCCUAAAGUGUCUGCUAGAGAGAACUGAGAUGGUUUGAGGCCCUGCUGUUUCUCCUCCAUGUCAAGGUUAUAGGUAAACCUCAGACAACU